AGCGGCGGACGGGUGAGUAACGCGUGGGUAACCUGCCCUAUACACACGGAUAACAUACCGAAAGGUAUGCUAAUACGAGAUAAUAUAAGAGAUUCACAUGGAUUUCUUAUCAAAGUUGAGGCGGUAUAGGAUGGACCCGCGUCUGAUUAGCUAGUUGGUAAGGUAACGGCUUACCAAGGCGACGAUCAGUAGCCGACCUGAGAGGGUGAUCGGCCACAUUGGAACUGAGACACGGUCCAAACUCCUACGGGAGGCAGCAGUGGGGAAUAUUGCACAAUGGGCGAAAGCCUGAUGCAGCAACGCCGCGUGAGUGAUGAAGGCCUUCGGGUCGUAAAACUCUGUCCUCAAGGAAGAUAAUGACGGUACUUGAGGAGGAAGCCCCGGCUAACUACGUGCCAGCAGCCGCGGUAAUACGUAGGGGGCUAGCGUUAUCCGGAUUUACUGGGCGUAAAGGGUGCGUAGGUGGUCUCUUAAGUCAGGAGUGAAAGGCUACGGCUUAACCGUAGUAAGCUCUUGAAACUGGGAGACUUGAGUGCAGGAGAGGAAAGUGGAAUUCCUAGUGUAGCGGUGAAAUGCGUAGAUAUUAGGAGGAACACCAGUAGCGAAGGCGGCUUUCUGGACUGUAACUGACACUGAGGCACGAAAGCGUGGGGAGCAAACAGGGUUAGAUACCCUGGUAGUCCACGCCGUAAACGAUGAGUACUAGGUGU
rnacentral:rRNA from 1 species